UGAGGAAUAUUGGUCAAUGGACGAGAGUCUGAACCAGCCAAGUAGCGUGAAGGAUGACUGCCCUAUGGGUUGUAAACUUCUUUUAUACGGGAAUAAAGUGAGGCACGUGUGCCUUUUUGUAUGUACCGUAUGAAUAAGGAUCGGCUAACUCCGUGCCAGCAGCCGCGGUAAUACGGAGGAUCCGAGCGUUAUCCGGAUUUAUUGGGUUUAAAGGGAGCGUAGGCGGACGCUUAAGUCAGUUGUGAAAGUUUGCGGCUCAACCGUAAAAUUGCAGUUGAUACUGGGUGUCUUGAGUACAGUAGAGGCAGGCGGAAUUCGUGGUGUAGCGGUGAAAUGCUUAGAUAUCACGAAGAACUCCGAUUGCGAAGGCAGCUUGCUGGACUGUAACUGACGCUGAUGCUCGAAAGUGUGGGUAUCAAACAGGAUUAGAUACCCUGGUAGUCCACACAGUAAACGAUGAAUACUCGCUGUUUGCGAUAUACAGUAAGCGGCCAAGCGAAAGCGUUAAGUAUUCCACCUGGGGAGUACGCCGGCAACGGUGAAACUCAAAGGAAUUGACGGGGGCCCGCACAAGCGGAGGAACAUGUGGUUUAAUUCGAUGAUACGCGAGGAACCUUACCCGGGCUUGAAUUGCAACUGAAUGAUGUGGAGACAUGUCAGCCGCAAGGCAGUUGUGAAGGUGCUGCAUGGUUGUCGUCAGCUCGUGCCGUGAGGUGUCGGCUUAAGUGCCAUAACGAGCGCAACCCUCAUCGAUAGUUACCAUCAGGUUAUGCUGGGGACUCUGUCGAGACUGCCGUCGUAAGAUGUGAGGAAGGUGGGGAUGACGUCAAAUCAGCACGGCCCUUACGUCCGGGGCUACACACGUGUUACAAUGGGGGGUACAGAAGGCAGCUACACGGCGACGUGAUGCUAAUCCCGAAAGCCUCUCUCAGUUCGGAUUGGAGUCUGCAACCCGACUCCAUGAAGCUGGAUUCGCUAGUAAUCGCGCAUCAGCCACGGCGCGGUGAAUACGUUCCC
rnacentral:rRNA from 2 species